GACGAACGCUGGCGGCGUGCUUAACACAUGCAAGUCGAACGGAACGGCCCUGCUUUUGUGGGGUGCUCGAGUUGCUAACGGGUGGGUAACACGUGAGUAACCUUCCCUUUCCUUUCGGAUAACUUCCGGAAACUGGGGCUAAUACCGGAUAGGUGCUCCUGCUCCAUAUUGGGUGUUGGGGAGUUUCGGCGGGUGGGGAUUGACUCGCUGCUUAUUAGCUUGUUGGUGGAGUAGUGGGUUACCAAGGGUUUGGCGGGUAGCCGGCCUGAGAGGGUGACCGGCAACAGGGGGACAGAGAUACGGGCGAGAGUACUACGGGAGGCAGCAGAGGGGAAGAAUGCACGAUGGGCGGAAGCCUGAUGAAGGAACGCGGCGUGCGGGAUGACGGCCUGCGGGUUGGAAACCGAAGGCGCCUGUGACGAAGUGUGAGUGACGGUAACGGGUAAAGAAGCACCGGCUAACUACGUG
rnacentral:rRNA from 1 species